CGCGAUUUACAUGAUCACGACAGCUUCUCGCGUCAUCUGAUUGGUUGAUUUGAGUCAGGUUCACGGGAUACUUUGGAUUCGAAAACUAUAUUCCCGCCCAGGAUUCUUCUCGUCUCUUCUUCAACGGCUGUUUUUAGAAGUCCUCCAAUCCACCAUCAGCGAGACCGAACUCCUCCAGUCCAGCUACAGAUAAGCUGCUGACCCAUUUCAGAGGAGGAACAUUGGCCAUGACCCAAAAGGACCACUAAAUCCUCAACUUUUUCUUGACACUUCUGCGGUGAGAAAAAUUCCCUAACAAAAAAAACGGUCAUAUCCAGAGAUGGCUUCAGCUUGCUCCGGAUUGGGAUGGAGGAAGAAGAGAACGGCUGAAGAGAAAGGAGAUGAUAAAUAGCUGUGCCUCUCAUUUAGAGCCAUAAUAGCUUAUGCGUGCGAACACAUACGAAAUACAUUCAUUUCCUUUUCAUGUGCACACACGCAGUUAUGUGUUAUGUUGUUUAUAAAGUUUAAUUUUGUCUUUCUUUGGUUUAUAACGUUUUCAUUUAGUCCGUAUUCGGUUUCAUUUUUUCAAGUGUUAAGGUACUGUUCAUUUAAAGUCUAAAGGUUUCCGUUUUACAUAAAAAUAUGUUCAACACAAUGUGUUCACUUUAUUUUUAUUUGUAAAUAAAAAAUGUUUAUUGAAAAACAA